rnacentral:lncRNA from 1 species
GGAGGUAGAAACACAUGAAAGGAGCUGCACCAUCAUCUGUCUGCCAGGGGAGUGGACCUGUCCACAGGAGCAAGAAAAUGGAAAUAAUUCCAUCCAGCCUGGGAUCUAUAAGAGCAACUAAAGGGGAUGAAAAUGAUCUAACACACCGGUCUGGCACCCAUCAAAGGAAAAUAGGUGUAGCUGUUGCUGCAAGAGGAGGAGAAAUUAAUUCCUACCCAAUGGUCCCAACCCAGCAUAUGCAAAGAAAGACAGGUCUGUGCGCAUGGUAGCAUAUGGUAGAUAGAGCGGGGCUGAAGAAGCAAAACAGAUAAGCCAAAGCAUUGUGUUCGAGGAGCUGUUACUUCUCCCACCUGCUGCUGUCAGUGGUGUUAGCUUUAUUCUAAAGGACAGACAUCCAUGGGACGCUGCCAUCCUCAAUAUUCUAAACUUGUUUUUAACACACCUAGCUUUAUCCAGUGACAAGCAUUAGAAUAACAUAAAGAAGCGAUGCUGUGCUAACAGUGAGUAUAAAAUGCACUAUGUGGUGUGCUAAAUGGGUAGUCCUUUAUUUAUUUAUUUUUCUCUCCCCCUUCCCUACAAGUUCACCUUUGCAUAUUGUAGUGUAGUACUUGGCUCUCAUUGAAACUUGUUAGCUGUACCUAAUAAACAUACUAACAUGAUUUUGGUGUAAAAGUGU